rnacentral:rRNA from 1 species
UACCGGCACCCCGAGUGGUCGGGACGAUUAUUGGGCCUAAAGCAUCCGUAGCCGGUUCUACAAGUCUUCCGUUAAAUCCACCUGCUUAACAGAUGGGCUGCGGAGGAUACUAUAGAGCUAGGAGGCGGGAGAGGCAAGCGGUACUUAGUGGGUAGGGGUAAAAUCCGUUGAUCCAUUGAAGACCACCAGUGGCGAAGGCGGCUUGCCAGAACGCACUCGACGGUGAGGGAUGAAAGCUGGGGGAGCAAACCGG